rnacentral:tRNA from 1 species
GGGGAGUGGCGCAGCGGUAGCGCACCUGGUUUGGGACCAGGGGGUCGCAGGUUCAAAUCCUGUCUCCCC